GAUGAACGCUGGCGGCGUGCCUAAUACAUGCAAGUCGAGCGAACAGACGAGGAGCUUUCUCCUCUGAUGUUAGCGGCGGACGGGUGAGUAACACGUGGAUAACCUACCUAUAAGACUGGGAUAACUUCGGGAAACCGGAGCUAAUACCGGAUAACAUGUUGAACCGCAUGGUUCAACAGUGAAAGACGGUCUUGCUGUCACUUAUAGAUGGAUCCGCGCCGCAUUAGCUAGUUGGUAAGGUAACGGCUUACCAAGGCAACGAUGCGUAGCCGACCUGAGAGGGUGAUCGGGCACACUGGAACUGAGACACGGUCCAGACUCCUACGGGAGGCAGCAGUAGGGAAUUUUCCGCAAUGGGCGAAAGCCUGACGGAGCAACGCCGCGGGAGUGAAGGAGGUCUUCGGAUCGUAAAACUCUGUUAUUAGGGAAGAACAAAUGUGUAAGUAACUAUGCACGUCUUGACGGUACCUAAUCAGAAAGCCACGGCUAACUACGUG
rnacentral:rRNA from 1 species